UACAGAGACCUCAAGCGUUAUCCGGAUUUAUUGGGCGUAAAGAGCCUGUAGGCGGAUAUAUUAGUCAGACGUCAAAUCUCCGAGCUCAACUCGGAAACUGCGUUUGAAACGGUAUAUCUAGAGGAAGUGAGGGACCAGUGGAACAUAUGGUGUAGCAGUGAAAUGCGUUGAUAUCAUAUGGAACACCAAAGGCGAAGGCAUCUGGUUGGCACUUUCCUGACGCUGAGAGGCGAAAGCGUGGGUAG
rnacentral:rRNA from 1 species